AUUGAACGCUGGCGGCAUGCCUUGCACAUGCAAGUCGAACGGUAACAGGUCUUCGGAUGCUGACGAGUGGCGAACGGGUGAGUAAUACAUCGGAACGUGCCUAGUAGUGGGGGAUAACUACUCGAAAGAGUGGCUAAUACCGCAUGAGAUCUACGGAUGGAAGCAGGGGAUCGCAAGACCUUGUGCUACUAGAGCGGCCGAUGGCAGAUUAGGUAGGUGGUGGGAUAAAAGCUUACCAAGCCGACGAUCUGUAGCUGGUCUGAGAGGACGAUCAGCCACACUGGGACAGAGACACGGCCCAGACUCGUACGGGAGGCAGCAGUGGGGAAUUUUGGACAAUGGGCGAAAGCCUGAUCCAGCAAUGCCGCGUGCAGGAUGAAGGCCUUCGGGUUGUAAACUGCUUUUGUACGGAACGAAAAGCCCUGGGUUAAUACCCUGGGGUCAUGACGGUACCGUAAGAAUAAGCACCGGCUAACUACGUGCCAGCCGCCGCCGUAA
rnacentral:rRNA from 1 species